rnacentral:piRNA from 1 species
UACAGUAACUGUUGGUUGAUCUGUGUUU